rnacentral:ncRNA from 1 species
GGUCAUGAGGCCCCGUGGUAUCGCCCUCCGGCGUGCGGGACCGGCAACCGCGCCAGUGCGCACGGUGCUCCCGGAGGAAGACCCGCCCCCGCCGCCGGUGGGGGAAGCGCACCAC